rnacentral:piRNA from 1 species
UGCUGGGUCUACAAGCAUGUGCU